GCCUGCGUGGCCAAGUAGUAAGGCGCUCCACUCGUAUUGUAAUUACCAAAUUACAAGUCAUGGAGAGACCGUCGGUGCAACUCCGGCCGUGGGCA
rnacentral:tRNA from 1 species